UGGGGAAUAUUGGACAAUGGGGGCAACCCUGAUCCAGCCAUGCCGCGUGAGUGAUGAAGGCCUUCGGGUUGUAAAGCUCUUUUGGCGGGGACGAUGAUGACGGUACCCGCAGAAUAAGCCCCGGCUAACUUCGUGCCAGCAGCCGCGGUAAGACGAAGGGGGCUAGCGUUGUUCGGAAUUACUGGGCGUAAAGCGAGUGUAGGCGGUUGCCGUAGUCAGGUGUGAAAGCCUUGAGCUCAACUCAAGAAAUGCACUUGAUACUGGGUGACUAGAGGACCGGAGAGGAUAGUGGAAUUCCCAGUGUAGUGGUGAAAUACGUAGAGAUUGGGAAGAACACCAGUGGCGAAGGCGGCUAUCUGGACGGUUACUGACGCUAAGACUCGAAAGCGUGGGGAGCAAACAGGAUUAGAUACCCCUGGUAGUCCACGCCGUAAACGAUGGGUGCUAGACGUUGGCGAGCUUGCUCGUCAGUGUCGCAGCUAACGCGUUAAGCACCCCGCCUGGGGGAGUACGGCCGCAA
rnacentral:rRNA from 1 species